UGGACAGAGAGUCUGUGUGCCGGUCCUGCAGGGAAGGAGAGGUGACCUUGGGGACAGCCUCUUUGCUGUCGCUACUGCCCUCGGUCCUAACUCAGGCCCACAACGUUCAGCCGCUCCCAAGCCUCUAUGGGGAGUUACAGGUAGGGCUCAGACUAGGUAAGUAAUGGGGUAGAGCCGAAAUUGUGACUAGAGACUGGGCUGCAAAGUUUUGGUGUGGUAAACGCCCAAAUCAUUAAAAGGGACUCCCCCGCCCCACCACACACACUCCCAGCCCUUCAGGGGCACAGAGGAGCAGUUGGGGAGGGCUUCAGCGACUAAGUGGUCAGACCUGGCCUAGAAGUCGAGUUGGUGAUGAAGGCUGUCCCAGAUGGUUGAGACAGGUUGUGAGAUAGGGCUGGCGGCCGAGGAAGAAGAGGGAGCCCAAACGAAUCCGAGCUGUUUGGGGCCCGCCUACCUGCUCACCGCCCUUCGCCGCGGGAUGCGCAGGAUAGGCCGGGUCCAGGCACACUUUGGGAAUCGAGCCUGCGGACCCUUAAACUCAAGCCAACCCGGAGUUUUUCCAGGCAGAGACAAGUCAUCCCAACUGGUCAGGGAGUGUCGGGGGUGGCACGGGUUCGAUUAACUUUCAGACGGUGCGCGCCUCACUUCUGAAGUCAACAACAACCGGUUAGAACCCAGACCGCGGCGUCUCCGCCCCUCGGCGUGCGCGCGGGCGGGGGCGGGGGGCCGAGGGCAGCCGGGGCUGCAGGAGCCGGGGGAAGGGGGAGGCCGGGACGCGGGUCUCACCUCGGGCGGGUCGCUGAAGAGGCUGAGUCGGAAGCGGCCGCGUUUGAACUCCAUCUCCAGGGCGGAGCCCCUGGCCACGGUGACCCGGCUCCGGUGGUUUCGGGAGAACAUGCUGGCGACCCCGCGCCUUUACCUGUUCUGUGAGUUCCCGGAGCCGCCAGCUGUGUCCGAUCUCGUCCGCUUCUGUUCCUCGACGUCCGCCCGCCAGUCCGGCUGGGAAUCUCCCGCAGCCGGGUUCCCAAACUCCGCCCCCGGAGACGACACCUGGGCUGGGCAGGGCGCGGCACCCUCCUUCUCCACCCCCGCCAAAGGCCCGGCCGGCCGAGCCAGUCCCGAGGCACCAAGCAGUCCUGGCCCGACAACCCCACAGCCAGGCACCCUACGCUGCUCAAACACUGCGGGGGCGCGUCAUCCGGUCGCGCCCAGGUCUCAGGUGCCUCACCUGGGAAAGGGGCGGACCCAGGGAAGCCCCGCCCCGCCCGCCUCCCCCACCUGGCAAGCCCCACUGCCUGCGCGCGGAAAAUCCCGUGGCCACCUGGGUCACUGCGUGGCACACUGCGGUUCUAGCCGGGCCCCGGGACCGUCCCCAGUUCCACACCAAGCAGCUUCUGAAGUGAUCGUUUCAACUUCCUACAGUCUCAAUGUCUCUUCGUCCCCCUCCCGCUUUAGGUCGUCCAUUCGCUACCUGCCCAUCCACCCAAUCGGGGGCCAUGCUUAAGCAUGUUUUGGAAUCCUGUUCUUUCAAUUACUAACUGUGGAGCCUUGACUCAGUCUUGAACUGAGCUUCAGUUUUCUCAUCUGUUCAAUGGGGUAUAGUAAUUAUCUCCAUUCCUCCGGUUGCUAUGAGGAUUCCAUAUGAGAAUGGGUGUAAGAUGCCCAGCAUAGUGUCUGACAUAAAGCAAUGGCCCCAAAAGUGGAGCUAUGAAGACAAAGGAGCAGGUGCAGCACUCUUGUGUCCUUGGAUGGGGCACAGGUGACCUCAGCGCUCUGGACCCAGAUCAUAAGUGCCUUACGAGGCAACAGAAUGAAAUCUUACCUGGAAUAUGUGAAAUAGAAGCAAGCAGCUGCCGUGAUGGAAGCAGGGCUGGAGCCUCAAGCACUGUCCUCUCCACAGGCCCUCAGCUGCCCUGCACCCCACCCUGGGGAGCUUGUGCUCUCCCUCUCUGGAAGGGUUUGAAAACCCCUGCAAGAGGUGGAGGAAUGGAAGACGUCUGGAAAGGAAGUGGAGCUCACAUCCUGCCUGAGAAUCUGAAUUCCAUGUGACUGAAGAUUUUACAAAAGGAGUGGGAUAGCUAGAGUUGUAUUUUAGAGAUCAUAAUCCAGCAGCCUCUUUCAUAAAUCAGUUGGAGGAGGUUGUGACGGGUCAGGGAAGCCAGUUGACACUGUAUGUGAAUAGGAGUGAAGAAACAAGGGCCAACAGUUUUGUGGAUUGAUUUAUUUUUUAAAUUAAAUUCUUAUUUGAAAACACACAUACAGUUAGAAAAAAAAAACUAAUGAACUCCUAAUUUGACAUUUAAAAAUAAUAC